AAGGAUAUGGACAGUAUAUCUUCAUAGGAAAUGUCUCUGUUGAGGAGGGUCUUCACGACUUAUUGGCUCCUGAUCUCACCAUAGCCGACGAGUGGACCUACUGUGAGACAGACAUUGACCCAGCACACCGCAAGCUGAGUCAGCUUCAAGCUGUGGAACGAUACCUCACAGGCAAAGAGC